UUGUGUGUCAUGGCGGCAUGGUAAAGCUUGCUCAAAGGGAAAAAUAACCAACCCGUACUGUCUUUUUUAGACAGCGGUUUGGGGAUUUAUUUCGGGCUUAACAUCGCCACCAACGUCCACAUUCGUAUUGGGAAUUGCAAGCACUCAUUAUCGGUCUCCAUCCGCUCGGCCAUGGCGGCACAUAAACCAGUGGAAUGGGUUCAGGCCGUGAUAAAUAGAUUCGACGAGCAGCUUCCCGUUAAAACAGGACAUCAGAACAACCACACCAAAGUCAGCACAGAGCACAACAAGGAAUGUCUCAUCAACAUCUCUAAGUACAAGUUCUCCCUCGUCAUCAGUGGCCUCACGAACAUACUAAAAAAUGUGAACAACAUGCGUAUAUUUGGGGAAGCUGCUGAGAAGAACCUCUACCUCUCCCAGCUAAUUAUCCUGGACACACUGGAGAAGUGCCUAGCAUCGCAAUCCAAGGACUGCCUACGCCUGGAUGAGACCAUGCUGGUGAAGCAGCUGCUGCCUGAGAUCUGUCACUUCAUCCACACGUACCGCGAGGGCCACCAGCACGCUGCAGAACUCCGUGCCUCCGCCUCAGGGGUCCUCUUCUCCCUCAGCUGCAACAACUUCAACGCCGUCUUCAGUCGCAUCUCCACCAGGUUGCAGGAGUUGACAGUCUGUUCAGAAGACACUGUGGAUGUCCAUGAUAUAGAGCUCAUGCAGUACAUCAAUGUGGACUGCUUCAAACUUAAAAGACUGCUCCAAGAAACGGUAUUCAAAUUCAAAGCCCUGAAGAAACCUGCCCAACUUGCUGUCAUUAACAGUUUGGAAAAGGCCUUUUGGAACUGGGUGGAGAACUACCCUGAUGAGUUUACCACGCUCUUCCAGAGACCACAGACAGACAUGGCAGAUGCUGCGGAGAGGCUGUUUGACCUGGUGGACAGCUUUGCUGAGAGUGCCAAGAGGAAGGCAGCGGUGUGGCCUCUACAGAUCAUUCUCCUCAUCCUCUGUCCCGAGAUCACACACGUCAUCUCUCGAGAGGUGGUGGAGGAGAGCAAGGCUAACAAGAAGCUGUUCCUGGAGAGCUUGAGGAAGGCCCUAGCAGGCCAGGGGGGCAGCAAGCAACUAACAGAGAGUGCUGCCAUCGCCUGUGUCAAACUGUGCAAGGCCUCCACCUACAUCAACUUGGAGGACCACUCCGGCAUCUUCCUCCUGGUGCAGUCCUUCGUGGUGGACCUCAAGGCCCUGCUCUUCAGCCCCACCAAGCCCUUCUCUCGCGGGGCAGGCAGCCAGAAUGCAGACGUGGACCUCAUGAUCGACUGCUUCGUCUCCUGUUUCCGUAUCAACCCUCACAACAAUCAGCACUUUAAGGUCUGUUUGGCCUCGUCCUCCCCCUCUACCUUUCACUUUGUUCUGGUCAACUCCCUGCACAGAAUCAUAACCAAUUCUGAUCUGGACUGGUGGUCUAAGAUUGAUGCAGUGUACUGCUACUCUGGAGAGCUGCGACUAAUGUUCUCAGACACUCUGAGCCGAGUGAUGCAAGGCCUUCACACACACGCCCCACUACGCAUGACACCGAGUCUGUCAUUUAAAGAGAAGAUGACCACCAGCCUUAAGUUCAAAGAGAGAACCACAGAUCUGGACACACGCAGCUACAAGUGCCUCCUCCUCGUCCUGGUCAAACUCAUCCACGCCGACCCCAAACUCAUGCUGCACAACCCAGGGAAGCAGGCUCAGGAGACUCAGAGCAGCACAGCAGAGCUGAUCGCAGGCCUGGUGCAGCUGGUGCCCUUGGCCAACACAGCCCAGCUCUCCCAGGAAGCCAUGGAGGCUCUGCUGGUGCUGCACCUGCCUGAGAACAUUGAGCUGUGGAACCCUGAGGCCCCCAUUGAAACCUUCUGGGACAUCAGCUCCCAGGUUCUCUUCCUGAUAUGUAAGAAGCUGAUUGGUCACCAGAUGGUGAACAGUACAGAGGUGUUGAAGUGGUUGAGGGAGAUCCUUAUCUGCAGGAACAAGUUCCUCCUCAAGAACAAGGAGUGUGCCACGCAGGGCAGUGGAAUCCCCAUCUGCAGACAGGCCCAGACCAAAUUGGAGGUGUGUCUAUACAUGUUUCUGUGGAGCCCUGACACCGAGGCCGUGCUGGUGGCCAUGUCCUGCUUCAGACACCUGUGUGAGGAGGCUGACAUCCGCUCUUCCGCUGACGAGGUGCCCGUCCAGACCAUCCUGCCCAACUACGCCACCUUCACAGAGUUCGCCUCCGUCAGCAACAUGAUGGCCACCGGACGCUCCACCCUGCAGAAGAGAGUGAUGGCCUUGUUGAGAAGGAUAGAGCACCCCACUACAGGAAACACUGAGGCAUGGGAGGACACGCUUGCAAAAUGGGAGCAGGACACCAAACAGAUUCUUAACUUCCCCAAAAACAAGGUGGAGGAUGGUCAGGAGUGGAUCAACAUGACAGGCUUCCUUUGUGCUCUGGGCGGGGUGUGUCUGUCUCAGCGCAGCAAGCCCUGUGGCCCCGCUGCCUACAGCCCCCCCAUGGGCCCCAUAAGCGAACGUAAGUACUCCAUGGUCUCUGUGGGCUCCUGUGAUGUCUCCAACGCUGGAACUUCAGCCACCUGCUCUUCCUCCACUGAGACCCCCCUGGGCAGGUUCCUGGACCGCCUGCUUGCUCUGCUGGUAUGUGGUCAUGAGAGGGUGGGUCUACACGUCCGCACCAAUGUCAAGGAGCUGCUGGGGCUGGAGCUCAGCCCGGUCCUGUACCACAUGCUCUUCAACAAGCUCAGGAACAGCAUCGGGCGCUUCUUCGACACACAGGGGCCGGUCCCCAUCAAUGAUACUAACACACAGUUUGUAGAACAGACCAUCGCCAUCAUGAAGAACCUACUGGACAACCAUGCUGAGGGCAGCUCAGAGCACCUGGGACAGGCCAGCAUAGAGACCAUGAUGCUCAACCUGGUUAGGUACGUGCGUAUCCUCGGCAACACGUUGCAUGCCAUCCAGAUGAAGACCAAGCUGUGCCAGUUGGUGGAGGUAAUGAUGGAGAGACGAGACGACCUGUCCUUCUGCCAGGAGAUGAAGUUCAGGAACAAGAUGGUGGAGUACCUGACAGACUGGGUGAUGGGCACCUCCAACCAGGCUGCUGAUGACGAUAUCAAGUGUCUGACCAGAGACCUGGACCAGGCCAGUAUGGAGGCGGUGGUGUCUCUGUUAGCUGGCCUGCCUCUACAACCAGAGGAGGGUGACGGGGUGGAGCUGAUGGAGGCCAAGUCCCAGCUCUUCCUCAAGUACUUUACCCUGUUUAUGAACCUGCUGAAUGAUUGCAGUGAGGUGGAGGAUGAUGGCCAGCCGGUGGUUGGGAGGAAGAGGGGCAUGUCUCGACGCCUGGCCUCCCUCAGACACUGUACUGUCCUGGCCAUGUCCAACCUCCUCAACGCCAACGUGGACAGCGGACUAAUGCACUCUAUCGGUCUGGGCUACCAUAAGGACCUGCAGACACGGGCCACCUUCAUGGAGGUUCUGACUAAGAUCCUCCAGCAGGGGACAGAGUUUGACACACUGGCAGAGACGGUGCUAGCUGACCGCUUUGAGAGGCUGGUGGAGCUGGUCACCAUGAUGGGAGACCAGGGAGAGCUGCCCAUCGCUAUGGCACUGGCCAAUGUGGUGCCAGGAUCCCAGUGGGACGAGCUGGCCCGUGUGUUGGUGACGCUGUUCGACUCUCGCCACCUGCUGUAUCAGCUUCUGUGGAACAUGUUCUCCAAGGAGGUGGAGCUGGCUGACUCUAUGCAGACUCUGUUCAGAGGCAACAGCCUGGCCAGUAAAAUCAUGACCUUCUGUUUCAAGGUGUACGGGGCGGCGUACCUACAGAAGCUACUUGAGCCUCUACUUAAAGGGGUCGUCACCACCCCAGAGUGGCACAACAUCAGCUUUGAGGUGGACACAACCAGACUAGAACAGUCGGAGAACCUUGAGGAGAACCAGCGGAACCUUCUCCAGAUCACAGACCGGUUCUUCCUGGCCAUUAUCAACUCCUCCAGCGAGUUCCCUCCGCAGCUACGCAGUGUGUGUCACUGUCUCUACCAGGCUACUUGCCACUCUCUACUGACUAAAGCCACAGUUAAAGACAGAAAGGAAAACAAAAAAGCAGUGGUGAGCCAGCGUUUCCCCCAGGACAGUAUAGGGGCGGUGGGCAGUGCCAUGUUCCUGCGCUUCAUCAACCCUGCCAUCGUGUCGCCCUACGAGGCAGGCAUCCUGGAUGAGAAGCCCCCACCCAGGGUAGAGAGAGGACUAAAGCUCAUGUCCAAGAUCCUCCAGAGCAUUGCCAACCAUGUGUUGUUUACCAAAGAGGAGCACAUGAGGCCUUUUAACGACUUUGUGAAAAGCAACUUUGAUGCAGCCAGGCGGUUCUUCUUGGACAUAGCAUCUGACUCUCCUCCAAGUGACUCAGUCAACCACAGCCUGUCCUUCAUCAGUGAUGGCAACGUUCUGGCCCUCCACAGGCUGCUGUGGAACAACCAGGAGAGGAUCGGACAGUACCUCUCUAGCAACAGGGACCACAAGGCAGUGGGCAGGCGGCCGUUUGACAAGAUGGCCACCCUCCUGGCCUAUCUGGGGCCACCCGAGCACAAACCUGUGGCCGACACACACUGGUCCAGCCUCAACCUCACCAGCUCCAAGUUUGAAGAGUUUAUGACCAGGCACCAGGUCCAUGAAAAAGAUGAGUUCAAAGCCCUGAAGACCCUCAACGUCUUCUACCAGGCUGGCACCUCCAAGAAUGGCAACCCACUCUUCUACUACAUUGCUCGCAGGUUUAAGACAGGCCAGAUCAACGGAGACCUUCUAAUCUACCAUGUGCUGCUGACCCUGAAGCCUUACUACGCCAAGCCCUACGAGAUCGUAGUGGACCUGACCCACGUGGGGCCCAGCAACCGCUUCAAGACAGACUUCUUGUCCAAGUGGUUUGUGGUGUUCCCGGGCUUUGCCUACGAGAACGUGGUGGUGGUCUACGUGUACAACUGCAACACGUGGGUGAGGGAGUACACCAAGUACCAUGAGAGGCUGCUGACAGGCCUGAAGGGCAGCAAGCGGGUGCAGUUCAUCGACUCGCCGGUGCGGUUGGUGGAGCAUGUAGAGGCAGAGCAGCAGAAGCUCCCCGCAGCCACGCUAGCCCUGGAGGAGGACCUCAAGGUGUUCCACAAUGCCCUCAAAGUGGCCCACAAGGACACCAAGGUCUCCAUCAAGGUGGGCUCCACGUCCGUCCAGGUGACGUCAGCAGAGCGUACCCGUGUCCUGGGCCAGUCCGUGUUCCUCAAUGAUGUGUACUAUGCCUCUGAGGUCGAGGAGAUCUGCCUGGUGGAUGAGAGCCAGUUCACCCUGACCAUGGCCAACCAGGGUACACCCCUCACCUUCAUGCACCAGGAGUGUGAGGCCAUUGUCCAGUCCAUCAUCCACAUCAGGACGCGCUGGGAGCUGUCGCAGCCAGACUCAAUCCCCCAACACACCAAGAUCAGGCCCAAAGAUGUGCCGGGCACCUUGCUGAACCUCGCCCUGCUCAAUCUGGGCAGCUCUGACCCCAGCCUCAGGUCUGCAGCCUACAACCUGCUGUGUGCCUUAACCUGCACCUUCAACCUGAAGAUCGAGGGCCAGCUGCUGGAAACCUCAGGCCUGUGUAUCCCUGCCAACAACACCCUUUUUAUAGUCUCCAUCAGCAAGACGCUGGCCGCCAACGAACCCCACCUCACCCUGGAGUUCCUGGAGGAGUGCAUCUCCGGCUUCAGCAAGUCUAGUAUAGAGCUGAAGCACCUGUGUCUAGAAUACAUGACUCCCUGGCUGCUCAACCUGGUGAGGUUCUGUAAGCACAAUGACGACGCCAAACGUCAGCGCGUCAGCGCCAUCUUGGAUAAGCUCAUCACCAUGACCAUCAAUGAGAAGCAGAUGUACCCCUCUAUACAGGCAAAGAUCUGGGGCAGCCUUGGCCAGAUAACGGACCUGCUGGACGUGGUGUUGGACAGCUUCAUCAAGACCAGCGCUACAGGAGGCCUGGGCUCCAUCAAGGCUGAGGUCAUGGCUGACACGGCUGUGGCUCUGGCCUCAGGGAACGUCAAACUGGUCUCCAGCAAGGUGAUUGGCCGGAUGUGUAAAAUCAUCGACAAGACGUGCCUGUCUCCCACGCCCACCCUGGAGCAGCACCUGAUGUGGGAUGACAUCGCCAUCCUGGCCCGUUACAUGCUGAUGUUGUCCUUCAACAACUCUCUGGACGUGGCCACUCACCUGCCCUACCUGUUCCAUGUGGUCACUCUGCUGGUGGCCACUGGCCCCCUGUCCCUCCGCGCCUCCACACACGGCCUGGUCAUCAACAUAAUCCACUCUCUCUGCACCUGCUCCCAGCUCAACUUCAGAGAGGAGACCAAGCAGGUCCUGAGGCUGAGCCUGACAGAGUUCUCCCUGCCUAAGUUCUACCUGCUGUUUGGCAUCAGUAAGGUCAAGUCUGCUGCGGUCAUCGCCUUCCGCUCCAGCUACCGUGACCGCUCCUUCUCCCCCGGGUCCUACGAGAGGGAGACCUUCGCCCUCUCCUCCCUGGAGACCGUCACUGAGGCCCUGCUGGAGAUCAUGGAGGCGUGCAUGAGGGACAUCCCAGCGUGCAAAUGGCUGGACCAAUGGACCGAGCUGGCUCAGAAGUUUGCGUUCCAGUACAACCCGUCCCUGCAGCCCAGAGCCCUGGUGGUGUUUGGCUGCAUCAGUAAGAGAGUGACCCACAGCCAGAUCAAACAGAUCAUCAGGAUCCUCAGCAAGGCCAGCCCCCUGCUCAGCAUAGACCGGGGGCUGGAGAGCUGCUUAAAAGGACCUGAUAACUACAACAGCCAGGUGUUGAUUGAGGCCACAGUCAUCGCUCUGACUAAGCUGCAGCCCCUUCUCAACAAGGACUCCCCCAUGCACAAGGCUGUGUUCUGGGUGGCUGUGGCUGUGCUGCAGCUGGAUGAACUCAACCUGUACUCUGCUGGGACGGCCCUGCUAGAGCAGAACUUGCACACUCUGGACAGCCUGAGAGUAUUCAACGACAAGAGUCCAGAGGAGGUGUUUAUGGAGAUCAGGCAUCCUCUGGAGUGGCAUUGUAAACAGAUGGAUCACUUCGUGGGCCUCAACUUCAGCUCCAACUUCAACUUCGCACUGGUGGGACACCUGCUGAAAGGCUACAGACACCCGUCCCCCACCACGGUGGCUCGUACGGUGCGUAUCCUCCACACGCUGCUGGCCCUGGUCGGAAAACACCUCAACUGUGACAAGUUUGAGGUCAACAGCCAAAGCGUGGCCUACCUGGCAGCCCUGCUCACCGUGUCAGAGGAGGUGCGUAGUCGCUGCAGUCUAAAACACAGGAAGUCUCUGCUGCUGUCUGAGAUGACCAUGGAGAACAUUCCCAUGGAUACCUACUCUCUGCAACACACUGACCCCAGCUGCAGGACACUGAGAGAGUGCCAGCUGUGGGCAUCUCCCAAGGUGUCAGAGCGCUAUCUGAAUGCCUACUAUCCUACGGUGGGGCAGAUCAGCCCCCGUACACGCAAGUCCAUGAGCCUGGACAUGGGCCAGGCCUCCCAUGCCAACACCAAGAAGCUGCUGGGAACCAGGAAGAGUUUUGAUCACCUGAUAUCUGACUCCAAAGCACCAAAGAGACCAGAGACCGAGUCUGGCGUCACCACCCCGCCUAAGGUUAGGUGCGUGGCCGAGAACGACAAUGAGAUAGACAACCAAAGAAUGGGCCACUCCCACCUCCGCAAGAUGUCUGUGACCGAGUCCAAUGUCCUUUUGGACGAGGAGGUGCUGACUGAUCCCAAAGUCCAGGCCCUGCUGCUCACUGUGCUGGCCAUCCAGGUCAAGUACACCACGGAUGAUUUUGACCAGAGGAUCCUGUAUGAGUAUCUAGCUGAAGCUAGCGUCGUCUUCCCAAAAGUCUUUCCCGUCGUCCACAACCUGCUGGACUCCAAGAUCAACACGCUGCUGUCUAUGUGCCAGGAUACUAACCUGCUGAACCCAGUGCAUGGCAUCGUUCAGAGUGUGGUCUACCAUGAAGAGUCUCCUCCACAAUACCAACCCUCCUAUCUACAGAGCUUCGGCUUCAAUGGACUUUGGAGGUUUGCCGGACCCUUCUCAAAGCAAACUCAAAUCCCAGACUACGCUGAGCUGAUUGUGAAGUUCCUGGAGGCCUUGAUUGACCGCUACCUGCCAGGUACAGAGGAGGAGAGAAGCGAGGAGCAGCUCCGUACCCCCACCUCCCCAUACCCCCCCGUCACCCAGAGCCAGCUCAGCAUCACCGCUAACCUCAACCUCUCCAACUCCAUGACCUCCUUGGCCACCUCGCAGCACUCUCCAGUCUGUGUGUAACCUCCCCAUCAUGCUCUACUCGCUGUGGUGUAGUCUAUAGACGGUCCCCAACUCUCCCAUCCCAACAAAAACAUCUGGUACAAAUUACAACCAUGGAGCCUCUCUGGAGUCGCUAACGCUAGCCCCAGUUUGCAAACUGUGGUGACUCGCAUCACGUGUCCAUUUCUGUCUGUUGUUCUCACUAUGCUAGCUGCUAGCUUUUAGAAUCACCAAGCUAAUACCAGUGUUUUUGUUAUUACCUGUAGAAUAAAUGGAUUGUAUUAUUUCUAUGUAUCAGUGCUAUAUUGCUGAAGUAGUUAUAAUAUAUUGUUAGCCUUCUCACAGAAAAUAUACAUUUCAUUCUUAGUAGACUUUCAUACAGUUAUUCAUGACAUUUAAAACACCUCCAGGUAUUGUCUUUGCGUUUCUUCACGUCAAUGCUAAAGAUCCAUCUUGCUUUCUAUUUUCAUUCAGUGUUAUUUGACUUUCAUUCUCUCCCUGUUUUUGUUCUGUUACCCUUGUUUAAUGUGUUUCUCAUCUCCUCAGUUGCUGUGGUCAUUCUUUCUUGUUUCUGUCCUUCUCUCUCUGUGAAGCCUCUCUGCCUUGCUCUAAGUCAGACGUUUUUGCGCCACACCUCCUCCCAGGUACUCUUCCUCUUUGACCUUGUGACCCCAGAAGUCAAACAAGGUCAAUUAACCUCAUCCCCCUGAGUAAAAAAACACCAAAAUGACUAAUCUAAUGUGAAAAGUGAGUGUGAGAAAUCCCCUAACUGUACCCAGUGCCAGAAUAGCAUCUUAAAAUCUGCCACCCACUGCCAAGCAAAGGGUGAUCUUGUUGUUUGUGCUGGUGUGAUUGUAAGAAAGGAAUAAAGGUCUGGGGGCAGAAUUACCAUUCAACAAUAAAAUACUUUAUUAGAGGGUAACUUGUGCUCUCUAUCUGACAAUGUAGAGGAAGAUGGAGAUGUUGAAUUCAUUCAAGUCGUGGAUAAGGAGAAUGUGAAGCUCUCCCCCAGCGCAGCUCUCUCCACCAGUGGACGGAUCCGCCAUGGCUCUGCCAGUCAGGUGCAGAAACAGCGCAGCUCAGGCAGCUUCAAAAG